GACGUAGGGCGCGAGCGUUGUCCGGAUUUAUUGGGCGUAAAGAGCUCGUAGGCGGCUUGUUACGUCGACUGUGAAAACCCGCGGCUCAACCGUGUGGUCUGCAGUCGAUACGGGCAGGCUAGAGUUCGGUAGGGGAGACUGGAAUUCCUGGUGUAGCGGUGAAAUGCGCAGAUAUCAGGAGGAACACCGGUGGCGAAGGCGGGUCUCUGGGCCGAUACUGACGCUGGAGACGCGAAAGCGUGGGGAGCGAACAGG
rnacentral:rRNA from 1 species